CCUCAGUAACGGCGAGUGAAGCGGCAACAGCUCAAAUUUGAAAUCUGGCCGCAAGGUCCGAGUUGUAAUUUGCAGAGGAUGCUUUUGGCGAGGUGCCUUCCGAGUUCCCUGGAACGGGACGCCAUAGAGGGUGAGAGCCCCGUACGGUUGGACCACCGAGCCUCUGUAAAGCUCCUUCGACGAGUCGAGUAGUUUGGGAAUGCUGCUCUAAAUGGGAGGUGUACGUCUUCUAAAGCUAAAUACCGGCCAGAGACCGAUAGCGCACAAGUAGAGUGAUCGAAAGAUGAAAAGCACUUUGAAAAGAGGGUUAAAAAGUACGUGAAAUUGUUGAAAGGGAAGCGUUUAUGACCAGACUUGGGCUUGGUUGAACAUCCGGCGUUCUCGCCGGUGCACUCUGCCAGUCCAGGCCAGCAUCAGUUUGUCCCGGGGGAUAAAGGCGGUGGGAAUGUGGCUCCCCCGGGAGUGUUAUAGCCCGCCGUGUAAUGCCCUGGGACGGACUGAGGAACGCGCUUCGGCACGGAUGC
rnacentral:rRNA from 1 species